GAUCAGAAGUUAAAAUUUUCUAUCUUCUUGACAUCUGAUUCUGAUUUAAGAUUUUAAUUUUAAAUUUUGAUUUCAAUUUAAAUUCAUAUUUUAAAUUUAAACUUAAAUUUUAACUUUUCAAAUUUUAAUUCAAAUUUUCAAAAUUUAAAAUUUUAUUUAACAUAUUAAACUUUAAAUUUCAAACUUCCAAUCAAAUAUCAAAUUUCAGAAUUUGAAAUUCAAAACUGUAAAUUUCAAUUUUAGAUAAA
rnacentral:lncRNA from 1 species